rnacentral:rRNA from 1 species
GACGAACGCUGGCGGCGUGCUUAACACAUGCAAGUCGAACGGAAAGGCCCUGCUUUUGUGUGGUUCUCGAGUGGCGAACGGGUGUGUAACACGUGAGUAACCUGCCCUUUACUUUGGGAUAACUUCAGGCAACUGGUGCUAAUACCGGAUAGGAGCUCCUGCUGCAUGGUGGGGGUUGGAACGUUUCGGCGGAUGGGGAUGGACUCGCGGCUUAUCAGCUUGUUGGUGGGGUAGUUGCUUACCAAGGCUUUGACGGGUAGCCGGCCUGGGAGGGGGACCGGCCACAUUGGGACUGCGAGACGGACCAGACUGCUACGGGAGGCAGCAGGGGGGAAUAUUGCACAAUGGGCGGAAGCCUGAUGCAGCAACGCCGCGUGCGGGAUGACGGCCUUCGGGUUGUAAACCGCUUUCGCCUGUGACGAAGCGUGAGUGACGGUAAUGGGUAAAGAAGCACCGGCUAACUACGUG